CAGCCGCCGCGGUAAGACGAACCGUGCGAACGUUAUUCGGAAUUACUGGGCUUAAAGCGCGUGUAGGCGGGUCGGCACGUCGGUCGCUGAAAUCCCCCGGCUCAACCGGGGAAGUGGCGCCGAUACGGCCGGCCUGGAGGGGGGUAGGGGGGCCUGGAACUUCCGGUGGAGCGGUGAAAUGCGUUGAGAUCGGAAGGAACGCCCGUGGCGAAAGCGAGGCCCUGGACCCUUUCUGACGCUGAGACGCGAAAGCCAGGGGAGCGAACGGGAUUAGAUACCCGAGUAGUCCCUGUCUCUUAUU
rnacentral:rRNA from 1 species